rnacentral:rRNA from 1 species
CACACUGGACUGAGACACGGUCCAGACUCCUACGGGAGGCAGCAGUGGGGAAUAUAGCACAAUGGGCGCAAGCCUGAUGCAGCCAUGCCGCGUGUAUGAAGAAGGCCUUCGGGUUGUAAAGUACUUUCAGCAGUGAGGAAGGUGUUGUCGUUAAUAGCGGCCUCAUUUGACGUUAGCUGCAGAAGAAGCACCGGCUAACUCCGUGCCAGCAGCCGCGGUAAUACGGAGGGUGCGAGCGUUAAUCGGAAUUACUGGGCGUAAAGCGCAUGCAGGUGGUUUGUUAAGUCAGAUGUGAAAGCCCGGGGCUCAACCUCGGAAUUGCAUUUGAAACUGGCAGACUAGAGUACUGUAGAGGGGGGUAGAAUUUCAGGUGUAGCGGUGAAAUGCGUAGAGAUCUUUUGGAAUACCGGUGGCGAAGGCGGCCCCCUGGACAGAUACUGACACUCAGAUGCGAAAGCGUGGGGAGCAAACAGGAUUAGAUACCCUGGUAGUCCACGCCGUAAACGAUGUCUACUUGGAGGUUGUGGCCUUGAGCCGUGGCUUUCGGAGCUAACGCGUUAAGUAGACCGCCUGGGGAGUACGGUCGCAAGAUUAAAACUCAAAUGAAUUGACGGGGGCCCGCACAAGCGGUGGAGCAUGUGGUUUAAUUCGAUGCAACGCGAAGAACCUUACCUACUCUUGACAUCCUCAGAAGAGACUG